UACGUAGGGUGCGAGCGUUAAUCGGAAUUACUGGGCGUAAAGCGUGCGCAGGCGGCUUUGCAAGACAGAUGUGAAAUCCCCGGGCUCAAUCUGGGAACUGCAUUUGUGACUGCAAGGCUGGAGUGCGGCAGAGGGGGAUGGAAUUCCAGGUGUAGCGGUGAAAUGCGUAGAUAUCUGGAGGAACACCGGUGGCGAAGGCGGCAUCCUGGACCGGCAUUGACGCUGAGGAGCGAAAGCCAGGGGAGCAAACGGG
rnacentral:rRNA from 1 species